rnacentral:rRNA from 1 species
UGGGGAAUUUUGGACAAUGGGCGAAAGCCUGAUCCAGCAAUGCCGCGUGUGUGAAGAAGGCCUUCGGGUUGUAAAGCACUUUUGUCCGGAAAGAAAUCCUUGGCUCUAAUACAGUCGGGGGAUGACGGUACCGGAAGAAUAAGCACCGGCUAACUACGUGCCAGCAGCCGCGGUAAUACGUAGGGUGCAAGCGUUAAUCGGAAUUACUGGGCGUAAAGCGUGCGCAGGCGGUUUGCUAAGACCGAUGUGAAAUCCCCGGGCUCAACCUGGGAACUGCAUUGGUGACUGGCAGGCUAGAGUAUGGCAGAGGGGGGUAGAAUUCCACGUGUAGCAGUGAAAUGCGUAGAGAUGUGGAGGAAUACCGAUGGCGAAGGCAGCCCCCUGGGCCAAUACUGACGCUCAUGCACGAAAGCGUGGGGAGCAAAACAGGAUUAGAUACCCCUGGUAGUCCACGCCCUAAAACGAUGUCAACUAGUUGUUGGGGGAUUCAUUUCCUUAGUAACGUAGCUAACGCGUGAAGUUGACCGCCUGGGGAGUACGGUCGCAAGAUUAAAACUUAAAGGAAUUGACGGGGUC